UACGUGAGGUGGCAAGCGUUGUCCGGAUUUACUGAGCGUAAAGAGCGCGCAGGCGGUCGUUCAAGUCGCGUGUGAAAGCCCCCGGCUCAACUGGGGAGGGUCACGCGAUACUGAUCGACUCGAAGGCAGGAGAGGGUGAGUGGAAUUCCCGGUGUAGUGGUGAAAUGCGUAGAUAGUCGGGAGGAACACCAGGUGGCGGAAGGCGACUACCUGGCCUGUUCUUGACGCUGAGGCGGCGAAAAGCUGAGGGGAGCAAACGGGG
rnacentral:rRNA from 1 species